GGAAGUAAAAGUCGUAACAAGGUCUCCGUUGGUGAACCAGCGGAGGGAUCAUUACAGAGUUGCAAAACUCCCUAAACCAUUGUGAACGUUACCUAAACCGUUGCUUCGGCGGGCGGCCCCGGGGUUUACCCCCCGGGCGCCCCUGGGCCCCACCGCGGGCGCCCGCCGGAGGUCACCAAACUCUUGAUAAUUUAUGGCCUCUCUGAGUCUUCUGUACUGAAUAAGUCAAAACUUUCAACAACGGAUCUCUUGGUUCUGGCAUCGAUGAAGAACGCAGCGAAAUGCGAUAAGUAAUGUGAAUUGCGGAAUUCAGUGAAUCAUCGAAUCUUUGAACGCACAUUGCGCCCGCCAGUAUUCUGGCGGGCAUGCCUGUUCGAGCGUCAUUUCAACCAUCAAGCCCCGGGCUUGUGUUGGGGACCUGCGGCUGCCGCAGGCCCUGAAAAGCAGUGGCGGGCUCGCUGUCACACCGAGCGUAGUAGCAUACAUCUCGCUCUGGGCGUGCUGCGGGUUCCGGCCGUUAAACCACCUUUUAACCCAAGGUUGACCUCGGAUCAGGUAGGAAGACCCGCUGAACUUAAGCAUAUCAAUAAGCGGAGGA
rnacentral:rRNA from 1 species